rnacentral:rRNA from 1 species
GUCGAGCGAGUUCUAGGCUUCGGCCAACGAGCUAGCGGCGAACGGUCGCGUAACACGUAAGCAACCUGCCCUAAAGUGUGGGAUAGUCCUCCGAAAGGGGGCUUAAUACCGCAUGUGGACACGAUGAUGCAUGUGAUUGUGUUUAAAGCAGCGAUGCGCUUUAGGAUGGGCUUGCGGCCUAUCAGCUAGUUGGUGUAGGUAACGGCUCACCAAGGCGACGACGGGUAGCUGGUCUGAGAGGAUGGUCAGCCGGACUGGGACUGAGACACGGCCCAGACUCCUACGGGGGGCAGCAAUUAGGAAUCUUGCGCAAUGGGCGAAAGCCUGACGCAGCGACGCCGCGUGACUGAUGAAGUCUUUCGGGAUGUAAAGGUCUUUUGCAGGGGAAGAAGGAUGUGACGGUACCCUGCGAAUAAGCCCCGGCUAACUACGUGCCAGCAGCCGCGGUAAUACGUAGGGGGCGAGCGUUGUCCGAAUUUACUGGGCGUAAAGCGCGCGUAGGCGGACCUUUAAGUUGGGGGUGAAAUUCCGGGGCUCAACCUCGGAACUGCCUUCAAGACUGGGGGUCUUGAGGUAUGGAGAGGGAAGUGGAAUUCCUGGUGUAGCGGUGAAAUGCGUAGAUAUCAGGAGGAACACCCGUGGCGAAGGCGGCUUCCUGGCCAUAUCCUGACGCUGAGGUGCGAAAG